ensembl:lncRNA
AUGCCUGCACGACUGGAUUGUGGAGUAGGUCUUUUGAUUGGCUAUGAUUGCUCCAGAGCAUUGGCACCUCGACAGGUCAUCAAUGGAGGUAAUGAAGAGCCUUAUGCCAUCAAGACCGAUCUGGGCUGGAGCAUCAUAGGAGGUACUCCACAUAGUGUGAACUCCAAGGAUGUGACUGGUAUAUGCCACCGCAUAUUAGUCAGGGAGCUUCCCCCUGUUACACCUGCUGCUGUUAUUAGAGCCCUUGAGCUGGAUUUUGUAGAUAGUCAGUUAGGAGAAAAGAGCAUAUCACAGGACGAUGUUCAGUUUUUGCAGGUUUUAAAGGAAGGUGUUCAUCACAAUGAAUGUGGCCAUCUUGAGAUGCCCCUUCCUUUUAAAACACGUCCCCAACUUCCAAAUAAUAAGAAGCUUGCAUUAGUACGGCUGAAGCAUCUUAAAAGAAAACUGGACAAGGAUCCUGAAUUCAAACGUGAUUACAUGAUGUUUAUGGAAGGUGUCUUAAGAGAUGGGGAUGCAGAAAUAGCUGAUGAGCAACCAGAUAUGGGAAACUUGUGGUAUAUUCCCCACCAAGGUGUUUAUCACCCAAAGAAACCAAAUAAGAUCAGGAUAGUCUUUGAUUGUUCAGCCAAGUAUGAAGGUACCGCUUUGAAUGAUUAUUUAUUGACUGGGCCCGAUCUUACCAAUGGGUUGACUGGAGUGCUUUGUCGCUUCCGUAAACAUCCAAUUGUUGUCAUGUGUGACAUUGAGAAAAUGUUUCAUAGAUUUCAUGUCAUUAGGGAAGAUCGGGAUUACCUGCGUUUUCUGUGGUGGUCAAAUGGAGAUAUAGACACAGAGCCCAGAGAAUAUCGAAUGAAAGUACAUCUCUUUGGAGCAUCAUCCUCCCCAGGUUGUGCCAAUUAUGGCCUGAAGUAUCUUGCCAGCAUUAAUGAGAGUGAGUAUCCUUUGGCUGCUAGUUUUAUUAGAAAUAAUUUCUAUGUAGAUGAUGGCCUCAUAAGCCUGGAAUCUGUUGAGCUGGCAAUUAGGCUGGUGGAAGAAGCUCAAGCUCUGUGUGCUAAAGGAAAGUUGCGCCUUCACAAAUUCAUUUCCAACAAUAGAGAAGUGCUGGCGUCCAUCAGUGAGAGUGACCGUGCUGUCGAGGUGAAGAACGUUGAUUUCCAUAAUGACUAUCUUCCAGUAAAAAAUGUUCUGGGAGUAAGGUGGGAUGUGGAGAAUGAUGCCUUUACCUUUAAUGCUGUGCUUGAUGAGAAACCUGCCACACGGCGUGGAAUUCUUUCCAUUGUGGCUUCUAUUUAUGAUCCAUUGGGGUUCUUGGCUCCAUUCAUCAUAUCUGGCAAGAAGGUGCUGCAAGAGAUGUGUCACAAGGGCAUCAGUUGGGAUGAACCACUACCCAUUGAGUUGAGAUCAAGGUGGGAGAGCUGGCUGAAGGAUUUGUCCAAUCUAGAAAAGAUACAGAUCCCAAGAUGUUUUACACCUUCAAACUUUGGGAAGAUCCUGAGGACGGAGUUGCACCACUUUUCUGAUGCAAGUAGUAAAGGUUAUGGUCAGUGCUCCUAUAUCAGACUGGUGAGUGAUACCAAGGUACAUUGUGCCUUAGUCAUGGGGAAAGCGAGAGUUGCCCCAACGAAAGUUGUCACCAUACCAAGAUUAGAGUUAACAGCAGCAGUGAUUUCUGCUGCUGUGAGUAGUAUGCUGAAGGAGGAGCUGGCUUUUAAAGUUGACAGAGAAUAUUUUUGGACAGAUUCCCAAGUAGUCCUUGGUUACAUCAAUAAUGAAGCCCGAAGAUUUCAUGUCUUUGUUGCAAACCGUGUACAGAGAAUUCGGGAGUCCACCGAUCCGAGACAGUGGUAUUACAUCAAUACAGAAGAAAACCCUGCUGACCAUGCCUCGAGGGGCCUCACGAUAGAAGAGCUUAUUAAUUCAAACUGGCUCACAGGGCCCAGAUUCCUCUGGGAGAAAGAGGUGGUUGCUAAACCAGGUAUGUUAGAGCUGUCAGUGGGUGACCCUGAGGUCAAGGCUGUCCAAGUUUUGAAGACUGAGGCUAUAAUUCAAGUGGAUUUUCAAGAGCGACUAGCACGGUUCUCAAAAUGGACUACAGCUGUGAACGUUAUUGCCCGGAUUCAAAGAUUAGUAAAGAAGUUAAAGAUAUCAGAGCCUUUAAGUGUGGAGGAGAGAAGAAGAGCUUCAUUCACGCUUAUACGUUUGGCACAACAGGAUGCCUUUAAAGAAGAGUUGUAUGUACUCGGCCAUGAAUCUGGGAAGUUGCCUUGUAACCAUCCUCUGUAUCAGCUUGAUCCAUUUAUGCAAGAUGGAAUAAUGAGGGUGGGAGGACGACUGAGGAGGGCAUCUGCCCCUCUUGAAUUGCGGCAUCCAGCAAUCCUUCCAAAGGAUGGGAUCAUCACGCGCCUUAUUCUGGCACACCAUCAUCAAAAAGUUCAACAUCAAGGCAGGGGACAGACUCUGAAUGAAUUGCGAGCCAAUGGCUUCUGGAUUACUGGUGGCAGCAAGAUGGUAGCCCAGUAUAUACGGCAGUGUGUUCCUUGUAGGAGAGCUCGUAGGCCUCCAGAACAACAACGGAUGGCAGAUCUGCCCCAUGACCGUACUGAUCCCUCCCCGCCAUUUGCUUAUUGUGGCAUGGACUGUUUUGGUCCUUUUUACACUAAGCAAGGUCGUAAGGAAUGUAAACGUUAUGGUCUUCUUUUUACUUGUCUCUGCUCCAGAGCUGUACAUAUAGAGAUGUUGGAAGACAUGACAACUGAUGCAUUCAUUAAUGCCUUACGAUGUUUUAUAUCUAUCCGUGGAGCUGUCAGACAGAUUAGAUCAGACCAAGGAACUAACUUCGUAGGGGCCAAGAGUGAGUUGAAGAAUGCCUUAAAAGAAGUGAGUGAAGAGAGAGUGGCAGCGUAUUUGGCAACCAAGCAGUGUGAUUUCUGUCUGAAUGCACCCAGUUCAAGUCAUGCUGGAGGUGUUUGGGAGCGGCAGAUACGAACUGUUAAAGGUGUAAUGAGCUUUGUUUUGGCACAGGGUGCUGGGAGACUAAAUGAUGCUUCUUUACGUACAUUCUUUUAUGAGACUAUGUCUAUAGUCAAUAACCGUCCAUUGACUGUAGAUGGCCUCAUUGAUCCCAAAAGCUUAGAGCCUCUAACCCCCAACCACCUGCUUACCAUGAAGUCAUCUGUUCCACUCCCUCCACCAGGUAAAUUCGUUAAAGAAGAUCUUCAUGCGAAGAAACGCUGGAGGCAGGUGCAGUAUUUAUGUGAACAGUUUUGGAGCAGGUGGAGGACAGAAUAUCUUGCCAACAUUUCCCUCAGGCAAAAAUGGCACGCACUAAGACGGAAUGUGCAAGAUGGUGAUAUUGUCAUUGUGAAGGAAGGGGAAGUCCCUCGUAACGAAUGGAGGUUGGCUAGGGUUCUUAAAGUUUGCAGGGAUGAUGAUGGAUUGGUGCGGAGGGCCACAAUACAGAUGGGGAAUCGGGGGUUGGGAAAAAGGGGUGAACGCCUCACUAAACCCUCUAUUGUUGAACGCCCUAUUCAAAAGUUAGUAGUUCUUGUAGCUAAAAGUUGA